GACGAACGCUGGCGGCGUGCCUAAUACAUGCAAGUCGAACGCUGAAGGAGGAGCUUGCUUCUCUGGAUGAGUUGCGAACGGGUGAGUAACGCGUAGGUAACCUGCCUGGUAGCGGGGGAUAACUAUUGGAAACGAUAGCUAAUACCGCAUAAUAGCAGUUGUUGCAUGACAACUGUUUGAAAGGUGCAAUUGCACCACUACCAGAUGGACCUGCGUUGUAUUAGCUAGUUGGUGGGGUAACGGCUCACCAAGGCGACGAUACAUAGCCGACCUGAGAGGGGGGUCGGCCACACUGGGACUGAGACACGGCCCAGACUCCUACGGGAGGCAGCAGUAGGGAAUCUUCGGCAAUGGACGGAAGUCUGACCGAGCAACGCCGCGUGAGUGAAGAAGGUUUUCGGAUCGUAAAGCUCUGUUGUAAGAGAAGAACGAGUGUGAGAGUGGAAAGUUCACACUGUGACGGUAUCUUACCAGAAAGGGACGGCUAACUACGUG
rnacentral:rRNA from 1 species